rnacentral:lncRNA from 1 species
GGGACUUAAGAGGAAGAGUAUGUUGGAGGGAAGAUGAUAUUCCCUAAUUCUUCAAAGCCUCUUCUGUGCUUGUCAGUUCACACUGCCCUUCUUAUUGUGCUCUACCAUAUUGUAUAGGCACUCCAUAUAUGUAAAUAUUUACAAAUGCAUCUUUGGGAGGAUACAUAAGAAACUUUUAACAGUGAUUGCCUCUAGAAAAGGGAACUUGGUGGGAUUGGGAAGAACCCUUACUUUCAUUUUGCAUUUUUUGAACUAUGUAUCAUAUACAUGUGUUACCUACUUAAAAAAAAGAAUAUUAUAAAGCAGAUGAAAAAUAAAAUAGAAAAACCUAAUACCUCUCCAAUACAUUUCCAUAUUCUGCACUUUAAUCACAAAAUUCUUCUGCAUCCUGUGCCCUUACUUGUCCAUGAAACCCUUCCCUGACCAUUCUAAUUCAUAUCCUAGCCUUUCUGACUAUUUGGUGUGGGAAUGAAUGGGAAGAAGGAAAUGGGACUAGAAAGUUCAGACUAUUCUUGCAGAAGAUUAGUGGAGAAAGGAAGGAUAUUAGGUAAUGUGAAACCUUGGAGUCCAGGGAGGUUUUCUAAUUUAGGUCUUUCCUUAUUUGUGACUAGGAGAGAUAUUUGCACCUGUCUAAUAGGUGUAGGGGGAAAGACUGGAGAGAGGGGAGAGAAGUUGAAGACAAAGGAAAUGGAGAGGUUGUAAACGGGUUUACCAAAACCUAUCAGCCAUGUUGGGAUAGAGUUGCAAAUGAAUGUAUUUCUAGAGAACUGCUCAGAAAUGGUUCUGAAAGCCUGAAAAGCUCUCUGUAAGGAACCAGAUUUCAGAACAGGCCUCUCUCUGGCCAUUUCCUACAGCAACUCUUCACAAUUAGUCCUUUUGGGUCUGCUGAGUUCUAUCAAGCAAUCAUUCAACAAAUGUUGAAUGACCAUUAUGAGUAAAGUCACGGCACGGGACAGGGAUUGUAUGGCUUAAUUAAAUAUACUGACUUGACAUUCACAAAGGAAAGAAAGGUUCUGUGAGAAAAAGUUGCUUAAAUAUAGGUUUUGAGAUGGAUUCAAGUCCACAGAACCAAUACAGUGCUUGGUUCCUAGUAGGUGUCCAGUAAGUGUUUGUGACAUAAUUUGUUUAUUGAGGACCUCCUAUCAAUCAAGCACUGUGCUAGGCUCUGGGACUACAUAGAUAAGUUAUUCAACAUCCUACAUUUUGAGGUACUUAGGCCUAGUGGUGGUUACAGUAGAGUGAUUAAUAUUUUGACAAAGGUACAAACGGGUAGGAGAGGAUCUACCCCAGAAACAGAACCAGAUUUCAGUGUGUUGAGGGGUGAAAAGGAAAAGAGUAAGUGAAGAUGGUGAAUGUAAAUGGUUCUUUAAAAGUUUUUAAACUGUUCUUAAACUGCUUUUAAAAAGCUUGGUUAGAAAGAAAAGGAGAGACAGGGCAACAAACAGAGAAAGAGAUAAGGUGGAGGGACUGUUUCUUAAAUGAUGGGAGGUUUCAGCAUAUUGUUGUGCAGAGGACAAAGAACCAUUGGAGAGGGAAGGAGUGAAGAUUCGAAGUUAGGACAGUGAUUGAUGAAAAGAGAUGUCUGAAUAUAUAGGAAGAGAUGGAAGAGAAAGUUGGCCAGGAACUCCUGAAGAAGUUAUCAUGUGGUGCCAAUAACUCUCCUGAAGAAGGAAACCAUAAAUUUUCAGGUGGUACCAGGUCAAAAUGUGGUUAAAACUAGAGAAAAGAAAAUGGUUGCAAUAAUAGAUUAUAGAGCCUAGGCAAGUCAGAAAAAAUAAUUAGGAUGGACUGAUAAACUGACAGAAACCAGGAGCCCAUAGAAUAGGAGUAGUAUGGGCAAGGAAGUAAAAGCCCUCACUGGAAAAUAAAAGUAGCUGAAGAGUAGGGUAUACGAAUUUAAGAUUUCAGAAGUAGAG